rnacentral:rRNA from 1 species
GACGAACGCUGGCGGCGUGCUUAACACAUGCAAGUCGAACGGAAAGGCCCUGCUUUUGUGGGGUGCUCGAGUGGCGAACGGGUGAGUAACACGUGAGUAACCUGCCCUUGACUUUGGGAUAACUUCAGGAAACUGGGGCUAAUACCGGAUAGGAGCUCCUGCUGCAUGGUGGGGGUUGGAAAGUUUCGGCGGUUGGGGAUGGACUCGCGGCUUAUCAGCUUGUUGGUGGGGUAAUGGCUUACCAAGGCUUUGACGGGUAGCCGGCCUGAGAGGGUGACCGGCCACAUUGGGACUGAGAUACGGCCCAGACUCCUACGGGAGGCAGCAGUGGGGAAUAUUGCACAAUGGGCGGAAGCCUGAUGCAGCAACGCCGCGUGCGGGAUGACGGCCUUCGGGUUGUAAACCGCUUUCGCCUGUGACGAAGCGUGAGUGACGGUAAUGGGUAAAGAAGCACCGGCCAACUACGUG